rnacentral:rRNA from 1 species
UACAGAGGGUGCAAGCGUUGUUCGGAAUCAUUGGGCGUAAAGGGCGUGUAGGCGGUUUGUUAAGUCAUGUGUGAAAUCCCUCGGCUCAACCGGGGAACGACGCAUGAAACUGGCAAGCUAGAGUACCAAAGAGGGGGGUGGAAUUCCCAGUGUAGCGGUGAAAUGCGUAGAUAUUGGGAGGAACACCAGUGGCGAAGGCGGCUCACUGGACCGGAACUGACGCUGAGGCGCGAAAGCGUGGGGAGCAAACAGG